UGUGAAGCUGCUGGGAGGAGAUAUGUGAGUGACCUCAGGCAAGCUCACAUGGGUAGCAACCAUAUGGUGUCACACCACAGGGGCCCCUGGGCUGAGGUAUCUGUAAAACUGCAACAUACUAACCUGCCGUCUGCAAACUGAGAUUGUGUGCUUCCUUGUUUGCCUUGUGACUGGUAAGGGUGAUGGAUAGUGCAGCUGAUAAGAUGUAGAACACAGUUAUUUUUUUGUUUUUGCAUUAAUGCAAUGCAUUUCCCUGUCAGCUUGUGGUGCUCCAUUGGUGUGGUACAAUGUGAGGAUACACUGAGUGAGACCAUUGUCCUUCAAAAUUUUCUGGAGAUGAAGUCUUCUGGAGGAAAGCUCUGGGAAAUGUCUAUCCUUCCUGAAUGAGUACUGGCUCCACCUUCGGCUUUCAGCAGUCUGUCAGCCUGUUUGUGGGAAACAAAAAGGAAUCCUUGUGUUUGGCCGGAUACCCAGCACCUGCGGAACACAUAUCUACAGCAAAUAUUGUGCUUUGUUUAACUUCU
rnacentral:lncRNA from 1 species